rnacentral:piRNA from 1 species
UCGAUCUGUCAAACUGAAUGACCCUGUUGA